ensembl:lncRNA
CCUGUCUUUUUCUUGAUGAACGCUGCCUCACAGGUGAGGAUGAGGAUGAUGUAGCAGUCACAGGGGCAGGUGAUGAACUUUUCCUCACAGGUGAGGAUGAGGAUGAUGUAGCAGUAACAGGAGCAGGUGAUGAACGUUUCCUCACAGGUGAGGAUGAGGAUGAUGUAGCAGUCACAGGGGCAGGUGAUGAACUUUUCCUCACAGGUGAGGAUGAGGAUGAUGUAGCAGUCACAGGGGCAGGUGAUGAACUUUUCCUCACAGGUGAGGAUGAGGAUGAUGUAGCAGUCACAGGGGCAGGUGAUGAACGUUUCCUCACAGGUGAGGAUGAGGAUGAUGUAGCAGUCACAGGGGCAGGUGAUGAACUUUUCCUCACAGGUGAGGAUGAGGAUGAUGUAGCAGUCACAGGGGCAGGUGAUGAACUUUUCCUCACAGAUGAGGAUGAGGAUGAUGUAGCAGUAACAGGGGCAGGUGAUGAACUUUUCCUCACAGGUGAGGAUGAGGAUGAGGAUGAUGUAGCAGUCACAGGAGCAGGUGAUGAACGCUGCACAGAAGACCAAAGACACAAAAAAAAUACCACAGAUGUAAACAAAAAGUAAAUAUAAAUGCUUGCUUAAUUCAAAGUGCAUUGAUUUAGUUUAAGGGCAAGACAAAUGCAUUUGGAACAAAUAAUGUUUAAAA